rnacentral:rRNA from 1 species
ACUUUAAGCGAGGAGGAGGCUACGAGAUUAAUACUCUGGAUAGUGGACGUUACUCGCAGAAUAAGCACCGGCUAACUCUGUGCCAGCAGCCGCGGUAAUACAGAGGGUGCAAGCGUUAAUCGGAUUUACUGGGCGUAAAGCGCGCGUAGGUGGCCAAUUAAGUCAAAUGUGAAAUCCCCGAGCUUAACUUGGGAAUUGCAUUCGAUACUGGUUGGCUAGAGUAUGGGAGAGGAUGGUAGAAUUCCAGGUGUAGCGGUGAAAUGCGUAGAGAUCUGGAGGAAUACCGAUGGCGAAGGCAGCCAUCUGGCCUAAUACUGACACUGAGGUGCGAAAGCAUGGGGAGCAAACAGGAUUAGAUACCCUGGUAGUCCAUGCCGUAAACGAUGUCUACUAGCCGUUGGGGCCUUUGAGGCUUUAGUGGCGC